rnacentral:lncRNA from 1 species
GUUCCUGCUCCGGCUCCUGCGGGGAUGGAUGCUUCACGCAGUAAGCGACCUAAGUCGCGGAAGCGUAGACACCCGGCUUUUCCCGCGUGCUCUAUCGGGCUCCCCUGGACACGGAGGGUGGAGCAGAAAGAGCAGAGGGGCCGGUGGGAGCCAUGGGGAGUCCGCCUAGCUCCAGAGGACACCUUACCUGGAUCCGCCUUUGUAGCCUCCUCCUGGCUCUGGGGGCUGUCCUGUGGGGUCCGAGUAGCUGAAAGACAGCCCCUCCAUGUGAGGAAGCCCCCAACUGGGGAAAACCCCCUCGUGGACUCAUUCCUGUCCCUGCAUGUGGCCUUCACCUGACUGUCUGCAUUGAGGCAUCCUCUGCCAAGAGCAAUUUCAAAGUGGCAGGAAAGUGCUGCUUUCAACAUCUGCCACAUUUGCAAGAAGAGCAAAGGUGGCCCAUUUGAGACCACCCUUGAACUAAACCAUCCAGUGAGCCCCUGAGGUCGGGACAGAAGUGGCCAUGACCUUCCUCAAGCAGGGACUGUGGUGGAGCCCACCUUAUCCAGCACAAGGUGGCCUGCUGACUUCUGGUGACAGUGAUGCCAACUUCCUGGCUGUCCAAGAAGCUGACAAGUACCUGCCGGAAAAACUGCCUCUUUUCCCUCCCGUGCUUGGAGCAGGCAUUGCUGACAGAUCACAGCUGCUGGGCCCAAAGGUCCCUUUGCACGCGGGACUUCAGGAAGUUGCUGCUGACCUAUGGGAGUUGGUGCAGAAAGAUGAAAUUUGUUAUCCUUGGCUGUAUCAACUCUCUCUCCUCUCCUUGGUGGUGAUAGUUUUGUUCUUAAAAGCCUCUUGUGAGAGAAUUUGUGGAUGAAGAACCUGUAAGAUCACAAGUGAAACAAUUUAUUGAUGUCAAUAGAUUUAUACACGUUCAUUAAGAAUCAAAACUAAACUAAAACAUCAGUCUGACUAAAGAGACCACCACAGAUAUUUCAUAUGCUGUACAUCAGUAACAAAGGGUACCAAAUAGUUAAUAUCCAUGUACUAGUCACAUGAGAAAUGUUUUAGGGUCAUUGACCAGUGUAGUCAGUACAGUGGUCCCAUGGUAUUUGUGGGGGAUUGGUUCCAGGAAUCUCUUGGACACCAACUCCGUGGAUGAUCAGACAAUAUAAAAUGUGGGUCAGGUGCGGUGGCUCAUACCUGUAAUCCCAGCAUUUUGCGAGAAUCACUUGAGGCCAGUUCAAGAUCAGCCUGUGCAACAUAGCAAGACUCCACCUCUAAAAAAAAAAAAAAAAAAAAAAAUUAGCCCAGUGCAGCGGUGUGCACCUGUAGUCCCAGCUUCUCAUGAGGUUGAGGUGAAAAGAUCACUUGGGCCCAGGAGUUUGAGGCUGCAGUGAGCUGUGACUGCCACUGCACUCCAGCCUGAGUGACAAAGCAAGUCCCUGUCUCUUAAAAAAUAAAAUAAAAUAAUAGCAUUUGAAUGUAACCUACACACAUCUCCCAUAUACUUUAAAUCAUCUGUAGAUUGCUUAUAAUACCUAAUACACUGUAAAUGCUAUGUAAAUAGUUGUUAUUCUGUGUAGUUUUUAAAAACGUGUAUUUCUUAUUGUAUUUUUUUGUUUGUUUUUUGUUGUUUUUG